AAUGUUAAUUACACUUUUCUCUCUCCUCUCUCUUCUCUUUUCUCUCUCUCUCUCUCUGAUCUCAGCUAUUGCCGGCCCUGUUACCAAAAGGAGAAACUCACCGCACAGGCUCUACUACUGAAAGAAACAAUACACCCUAUUCAUCGGACCUCAGAAAACUUCAAGAAUGGGGAGAUCUAGAAAAUGAAAUUUGAAGCAACGGUGUCGUUCAAGGACCAACCCCAAGAACCUUUCUCACUUCAUUCAAAUCCUAUCUUAAAGAGACAUUCUUCCCUGACGAUCCCUUCUGCCACUUCAAAACUGAACCACAUCCACUAGGUCGGGUUAAGAAAGCAAUCCAAUAUUUCAUCCCUGUCUUCCAAUGGCUCCCCAACUACAACUUCCGUUUCUUCCUCUACGACCUCCUUGCCGGUAUCACCAUAGCAAGCCUCGCCAUCCCUCAAGGGAUUAGCUACGCUAAGCUCGCUAAUAUAUUUCCUAUCAUUGGACUCUAUUUGAGCUUUGUUCCUCCUCUUGUUUACUCCAUUUUUGGUAGCUCAAGAAAUCUUGCAGUAGGGACCGACGCCGCUGCAUCAUUGCUAUGCGCUUCAACUCUUGGAGAUAAAGUAUCUGCUAAGGACGAUCCCGCAUUGUAUCUUUGCUUGAUUUAUACUUCCACUUUCUUCAUCGGAAUUUUUCAGGCGGUUCUUGGAAUCUUCAGUGUUGUUGGGUCCCAUCAAAUCCAUGCAACCAUUCCUCCGUCAAAGUUGUCGAGUACUCUGAUUCUCUAGGUCAUGUAAUCUUAAAAGGAGAAAAAAAUAAAGCUAAUAACCGUAUAGAAUCUCUCUUUAACCA